rnacentral:rRNA from 1 species
CCUACGGGUGGCAGCAGUGGGGAAUAUUGGACAAUGGGGGCAACCCUGAUCCAGCCAUGCCGCGUGUGUGAAGAAGGCCCUCGGGUUGUAAAGCACUUUCAGUGAGGAAGAACGCCUGGUGGUUAAUACCCAUCAGGAAAGACAUCACUCACAGAAGAAGCACCGGCUAACUCCGUGCCAGCAGCCGCGGUAAUACGGAGGGUGCGAGCGUUAAUCGGAAUUACUGGGCGUAAAGCGCGCGUAGGUGGCUUGAUAAGCCGGUUGUGAAAGCCCCGGGCUCAACCUGGGAACGGCAUCCGGAACUGUCAAGCUAGAGUGCAGGAGAGGAAGGUAAAAUUCCCGGUGUAGCGGUGAAAUGCGUAGAGAUCGGGAGGAAUACCAGUGGCGAAGGCGGCCUUCUGGACUGACACUGACACUGAGGUGCGAAAGCGUGGGUAGCAAACAGGAUUAGAUACCCCAGUAGUC